AGUGAACGCUGGCGGUAGGCCUAACACAUGCAAGUCGAACGGCAGCACAGGAGAGCUUGCUCUCUGGGUGGCGAGUGGCGGACGGGUGAGGAAUACAUCGGAAUCUACUUUUUCGUGGGGGAUAACGUAGGGACACUUACGCUAAUACCGCAUACGACCUACGGGUGAAAGCAGGGGGAUCUUCGGACCUUGCGCGAUUGAAUGAGCCGAUGUCGGAUUAGCUAGUUGGCGGGGUAAAGGCCCACCAAGGCGACGAUCCGUAGCUGGUCUGAGAGGAUGAUCAGCCACACUGGAACUGAGACACGGUCCAGACUCCUACGGGAGGCAGCAGUGGGGAAUAUUGGACAAUGGGCGCAAGCCUGAUCCAGCCAUACCGCGUGGGUGAAGAAGGCCUUCGGGUUGUAAAGCCCUUUUGUUGGGAAAGAAAUCCAGCUGGUUAAUACCCGGUUGGGAUGACGGUACCCAAAGAAUAAGCACCGGCUAACUUCGUGCCAGCCGCCGCAGUAA
rnacentral:rRNA from 1 species